ACGGGGGGUGCAAGCGUUAUUCGGAAUCAUUGGGUUUAAAGAGUAUGUAGGCGGAUUAAUAAGUCAGUAGUGAAAACCUACAGCUUAACUAUAGACUUGCCGUUGAUACUGUCAGUCUGGAGUAUGGUAAAGGUAGACGGAAUGUGUGAUGUAGGGGUGAAAUGCUUAGAUAUUACAAGGAACACCGAUUGCGAAGGCAACCUGCUGGGACAUUACUGACGCUGAUGCACGAAAGCGUGGGGAGCGAACAG
rnacentral:rRNA from 1 species